rnacentral:lncRNA from 1 species
AUAUUGGGCUGGGGGCUGUGCUGAGGAGUGAGUUAAGGGAGGUACCCAACUAGACAUUCCUGGAGGGACAGAGGAAAGGCAAGUUUAGGGGCAUAGACCUGGACCCACUGUUCAGCAAGAGAAUGAUUUGCCAGAGAGGUGAUAAGCACCUUGUCUCUGGAGGUAUUCAAGUCAGUGUUCAUCACCACUGGGCAGAGACAAGGAAGAGCUAAGGCACCAGGACCUCCAAGGAUUCUUCUUGAUUCUCUGUGUCUGGGGGGAUGCCUGAUGAUUUCAUUUCUUCUGUUGGGGUGAUCUUGGCCUUGCAGAGAAGAGGGUGAGAAGCCCCACAUUGGCAUUGGGGGCCCUGUUGAGAACAGGGAACAGCAACUUCUGGUGAGGGCCAAUCAUGUUUGUCUUCCCUGAAUCUCAGAUGGCGCUGUUGACUCUCCCACAGCUCAGCACCUGGUUUUGACAGAGCCAUGGAAAGUCACGUCUCUGGGGUUGCAAGUGAUCAGAAAAGAUGAGCAACCCAUUACCCAAGAGGCGAAAGACAAGGGGGCUGCGAGAGGCACCCUGGGUGACGCGGCCACCUUAAGAGGCUGGGACCCUAAGAUGGAGCCACCUCUCCCAGCUUGCAGCUGCCGACUGGAUUCAGGUCUCCUCUCCAGUGACUCCACUCCACCUGCUGGCUGACUUGCCACUGUUUGAGACCUACCCUCCACCUUCCUCCUCCAGAGGAUCAACUCCCGCACCUUUCAGCUCCAAUGCUAUCUCCCCUGAGAAGUCAGACAUGUGCUCCUUCGAAACCUUCUCAGCACCCUUCUCUGUCCGGUCCUGCUGGGGUGGAAGCACAUGUUUCUCUGGUCUGUCCAUUAGAGGAUGAACUCAUUGGAUAAGAUGGCGUCUGAUUCCUUGCUGUUGCUGGUUCCCAGCUCGGGGCCUGCACACAUCAGAAACGAAGUCAACACUUGCUGACUUGGAUGGGCCACUAGCCAUGUGGGGUGGGCCAGCGAGAAACCCCCGAGGAAAAGCAGGGAGCCUCCCUCUUGACGGCUGGCUGCUGACCUUGGAUCUGUUUUCUUUUCUUCCUGGUUUGUGCCACACUUGGAGUGUGUUGGACCGUGGGCUGAGU